GAUGAAGAACGUAGCGAAAUGCGAUAAGUAAUGUGAAUUGCAGAAUUCAGUGAAUCAUCGAAUCUUUGAACGCACAUUGCGCCCGGUAGUAUUCUGCCGGGCAUGCCUGUUCGAGCGUCAUUUCAACCAUCAAGCCCCAGCGCUUGUGUUGGGGACCUGCGGCUGCCGCAGCCCCCUAAAAGCAGUGGCGGGCUCGCUAUCACACCGAGUGCAGUAGUUCAUCUUCUCUCCGGUCUUGUGAGGCGGGUUCCGGCCGUGAAACACCCCACUACAUUCAAGGUUGACCUCGGAUCAGGUAGGAAUACCCGCUGAACUUAAGCAUAUCAAUAAGCGGAGGA
rnacentral:misc_RNA from 1 species